rnacentral:rRNA from 1 species
AGCAGCCGCGGUAAUUCCAGCUCCAAUAGCGUAUAUUAAAGUUGUUGCAGUUAAAAAGCUCGUAGUUGAAUUUCGAGACCGGUUUAUUGGUCGUGCUUUUGUACGUACUGGUAUUAUUGGUUUCUCCUUUCUGACGAAUCUUAAUGCCAUUAAUUUGGUGUUUUGGGGAAUCAGGGACUGUUACUUUGAAAAAAUUAGAGUGUUUAAAAGCAGGCUCACGCUUGAAUACAUUAGCAUGGGAUAACGGAAUAGGACGUUUGAUUCUAUUUUGUUGGUUUCUAGGAUCGACGUAAUGAUUAAUAGGGAUAGUUGGGGGCAUUAGUAUUCAAUUGUCAGAGGUGAAAUUCUUGGAUUUAUUGAAGACUAACUACUGCGAAAGCAUUUGCCAAGG